AGGUUCUCCAGCAUUUGGCUCAAGGCCCCAAGGGCACAUGUGACAAGAAGGCGCCAGCUUUUUAAACAUUGGAAGUUCUUCUGUGUCAGUUCUGUGACAGAACAUUUACUUAACACAUCAUGAAGGCUAGUUUGGAUGUGGAGGGGAAUAGACUCCAUCUAUCCAUAUGAGCUGCUGCAGAAGAAUAUUUUGCCUGCUGGAACCUGCUGUAUCUACUCAAGAGUGGAAGUUUUCACAGGGAGCUGACACGUUUCUCCCAGCACAAAGUUGGGAGUGACACCAGAGCCUCCUGCAAGAUGCUUCUGAUUCUGCUGUCAGUGGCCCUGCUGGCCUUCAGCUCAGCUCAGGAUUUAAAUGAAGAUGGAGGAGACUCUGAGCAGUUCCUAGAUGAGGAGCGUCAGGGACCACCUUUGGGAGGACAGCAAUCUCAACCCUCUGCUGGUGAUGGGAACCAGGAUGAUGGCCCUCAGCAGGGACCACCCCAACAAGGAGGCCAGCAGCAACAAGGUCCACCACCUCCUCAGGGAAAGCCACAAGGACCACCCCAACAGGGAGGCCAUCCCCCUCCUCCUCAAGGAAGGCCACAAGGACCACCCCAACAGGGAGGCCAUCCCCGUCCUCCUCGAGGAAGGCCACAAGGACCACCCCAACAGGGAGGCCAUCAGCAAGGUCCUCCCCCACCUCCUCCUGGAAAGCCCCAGGGACCACCUCCCCAAGGGGGCCGCCCACAAGGACCUCCACAGGGGCAGUCUCCUCAGUAAUCUAGGAUUCAAU
rnacentral:misc_RNA from 1 species